GGAUUGGAGCAUCAUAACAUAUCUGGAUCGCACUGGUCUCUCCACCAGCGUUGUACAACUAGCCGCAUCUGUAAGAUAUUUGUGCAAUCUCACCUGCCGAUUUCGUUGUAAUUUUGGGAUAUAAUGAUGAAUUAUCUGCGUCAGAAAGAAGAGAAAACAAAAAAUCAAAUGUUGGAGUACAACUGCAGCCUAUCUUUUCACCCAUAAUCCGAAUGAAUAAACAAAAUAUCUUCUGGGAAUGAUGUGAGAUACGGGAAGAACUGCGGUUAUGGAAAUACAUUAGUAUAUAAUUUGUGAACACUUGAGGGAUCCUGUGAACCUUGCUUACUUCACUGCUGAGAAUAAAUCAAGCCUAGAGCUCUUUGCUUUCUUUCUUAUGUCAGUUUAAUUAAAAGACAUGACUGGUUUCAUAAGAUUCUUUCCUCAUGUCUAUGCAAUUGAAUCUAUAUGUUUGACUUGAGGGAU
rnacentral:lncRNA from 1 species